rnacentral:rRNA from 1 species
GUACGCGGCAUCGACUCUGUCAUUGCCGAUGCUUCCGGAAAGAUUAACAAACUUGCUCAUUUAGAGGAAGUAAAAGUCGUAACAAGGUUUCCGUAGGGGAACCUGCGGAAGGAUCAUUA